GAGUUUGAUCUUGGCUCAGAACGAACGCUGGCGGCGUGGAUAAGACAUGCAAGUCGAACGGGAGAAUUGCUAGCUUGCUAAUAAUUCUCUAGUGGCGCACGGGUGAGUAACACGUGAGUAACCUGCCCCCGAGAGCGGGAUAGCCCUGGGAAACUGGGAUUAAUGCCGCAUAGUAUCGAAAGAUUAAAGCAGCAAUGCGCUUGGGGAUGGGCUCGCGGCCUAUUAGUUAGUUGGUGAGGUAACGGCUCACCAAGGCGAUGACGGGUAGCCGGUCUGAGAGGAUGUCCGGCCACACUGGAACUGAGACACGGUCCAGACACCUACGGGUGGCAGCAGUCGAGAAUCAUUCACAAUGGGGGAAACCCUGAUGGUGCGACGCCGCGUGGGGGAAUGAAGGUCUUCGGAUUGUAAACCCCUGUCAUGUGGGAGCAAAUUAAAAGAUAGUACCACAAGAGGAAGAGACGGCUAACUCUGUGCCAGCAGCCGCCGCAGUAAC
rnacentral:rRNA from 1 species